rnacentral:rRNA from 1 species
GACGAACGCUGGCGGCGUGCUUAACACAUGCAAGUCGAACGGAAAGGCCCUGCUUUUGUGGGUUUCUCGAGUGGCGAACGGGUGAGUAACACGUGAGUAACCUGCCCUUGACUUUGGGAUAACUUCAGGAAACUGGGGCUAAUACCGGAUAGGAUCUCCUGCUGCAUGUUGGUGGUUGGAAAGUUUCGGCGGUUGUGGAUGUACUCGCGGCUUAUCCGCUUGUUGGUGGGGUAGUGGCUUACCAAGGCUUUGACGGGUAGCCUGCCUGAGAGGGUGAACGGCGACAAUGGGACUGAGGGACGGCGCAGAAUGCUACGGGAGGCAGCAGUGGGGAAUAUUGCACAGUGGGCGGAAGCGAGAUGUGGCAACGCCGGGUGCGGGAUACCGGCUUACGGGUUGUAAACAGAUUUGGCCUGUGACGAAGAGUGAGUGACGGUAAUGGGUAAAGAAGCACCGGCUAACUACGUG